GACGAACGCUGGCGGCGUGCUUAACACAUGCAAGUCGAACGGAAAGGCCUGCUUUCCCUUGUGGAUUGCGGGUACUCGAGUGGCGAACGGGUGAGUAACACGUGAGUGAUCUGCCCCCAACUUGGGUAUAAGCCUGGGAAACUGGGUCUAAUUCCCGAUAGGACUGCAGGGUGGUGCCUGUGGUGGAAAACGAUUUUCUAGUGGUUGGGGAUGAGCUCGCGGCCUAUCAGCUUGUUGGUGGGGUAAUGGCCUACCAAGGCGGCGACGGGUAGCCGGCCUGAGAGGGUGGACGGCCACAUUGGGACUGAGAUACGGCCCAGACUCCUACGGGAGGCAGCAGUGGGGAAUAUUGCACAAUGGGCGGAAGCCUGAUGCAGCGACGCCGCGUGGGGGAUGACGGCCUUCGGGUUGUAAACUCCUUUCGGCCGCGAGGAAGCCACCUGGUUGGAAGGGUGGUGACGGUAGUGGUAGAAGAAGCACCGGCUAACUACGU
rnacentral:rRNA from 1 species